rnacentral:rRNA from 1 species
CCCGCUGAACUUAAGCAUAUCAAUAAGCGGAGGAAAAGAAACUAACAAGGAUUCCCCUAGUAACUGCGAGUGAAGCGGGAAGAGCUCAAAUUUAAAAUCUGGCGCGCCUCUGGUCGUCCGAGUUGUAGUCUGGAGAAGCGUUUUCCGUGUUGGACCGUGUAUAAGUCUCUUGGAACAGGGCGUCGUAGAGGGUGAGAAUCCCGUCUUUGACACGGACUACCAAUGCUUUGUGAUGCGCUCUCAAAGAGUCGAGUUGUUUGGGAAUGCAGCUCAAAAUGGGUGGUAAAUUCCAUCUAAAGCUAAAUAUAUGCGAUAGACCCAUAGCGAACAAGUACCGUGAGGGAAAGAUGAAAAGCACUUUGCAAUGAGAGAUAAAUAGUACUUGAAAUUGCUGAUAGGUAAACGCUUGAAGUCAGUCACGUCUGCCAGGACUCACGCCUUGCUUCUGCUUGGGGUACUCACAGGCUUGACAAGCUCCCAAUCCUUUUGACCGUUGGGAAAAGGCUGUGGGAAUGGCGCACCUUCGGGUGUGUUAGAACCUUCUCUUAUAUCCAGUCGGUCGGAUUAAGAAGUGCAAUCCUUCUUUGUGGCUUUUCCUCUGCCUAGGACACCUAGUGAAAUCGUUGUUAUAUCUUUUACUCGCUUACUGAUAUGCAACAGGCAACGU